AUUGAACGCUGGCGGCAGGCCUAACACAUGCAAGUCGAGCGAGCGGCGGACGUGUGCGCAAUGUCUGGGGACUGCCCGAUAGAGGGGGAUAACUACUGGAAACGGUGGCUAAUACCGCAUACGAUCGGAUAACCCAUAUGGGAUUAGCGAGUAGGUGGGGUAAAGGCUCACCUAGGCGACGAACCCUGGCUGGUCUGUGAGGAUGAGCUGCAACACGAGGACUGAAACACGGCCCCGAUUCCUGCGGCAGCAGCAGUGGGGGAUAUUGCCCAAUGGGCGCAAGCCUGAAGCAGCCAUGCCGCGUGUAUGAAGAAGGCCUUAGGAUUAUAAAGUACUUUCAGCAGGGAGGCGUUACCCGCAGAGUAAGCACCGGCUAACUCCGUACCAGCAGCCGCGGUAAUUC
rnacentral:rRNA from 1 species